AUGCAAGGUCGAGGGGUAGAGGAGCUUGCUUCCUUGAGACCGGCGCACGGGUGCGUAACGCGUAUGCAAUCUACCUUAUACAGGGGGAUAGCCCAGAGAAAUUUGGAUUAAUACCCCAUAGUAUAAUUGAAUGGCAUCAUUUGAUUAUUAAAGUUCCAACGGUAUAAGAUGAGCAUGCGUCCCAUUAGCUAGUUGGUGUGGUAACGGCACACCAAGGCGACGAUGGGUAGGGGUCCUGAGAGGGAGAUCCCCCACACUGGUACUGAGACACGGACCAGACUCCUACGGGAGGCAGCAGUGAGGAAUAUUGGUCAAUGGGCGCAAGCCUGAACCAGCCAUGCCGCGUGCAGGAUGACGGUCCUAUGGAUUGUAAACUGCUUUUGUACAGGAAGAAACACUCCCUCGUGAGGGAGCUUGACGGUACUGUAAGAAUAAGGAUCGGCUAACUCCGUG
rnacentral:rRNA from 1 species